GGUCGGCGGGGUUAUGCACAAAAUAAAUAAACUUGACAACGCCACCUAGGGGAAUUACACCCCCAGGAAAUAUAUUUAAGAAAAAUAAAUAAAAGGAAUAAAAGAAGACCGCACAGAUUCAAGGAUGCACACUGAGGCAGGUUGGCUUCCAAUAUUAAAACAGUUUUAUUUAUAGAAAUAAAUAAAAUAUUAUAAAUAAUAUUUUAUAAAUAAAAUAUUAAAAGUCAAGAUGUAGCGUCAUUAUUGACAGUGUCCUACAGUAAAAAUAAACAAUCGUGGAACUUGGACUUACCAGCAGCCGUGGAACCAAAAGAAAAUCACACCAAAAGAAUCACUGCAGACCACCCAGUGCUGUACAAAAGAAAGUGUGAAAACGACCCACCACCUGAGGUCCCAGGGCCACUGGCUCGUCCUCCUUCACUGAAAUAAAACACAGAAAAGUAUGUUAAAAGAAUAAAAGGACACUGAGCGUCAGGCUCGCUACAAAUCAUAAAAAGACUAAAACACACUUUAAUAACUUUAAUAAAAGAAAUCACACACACACACACACACACACGGGAAAGGCUUAUUCCCCACGGGUCAAACUACCACUCGUGCUGGUAAUAAUUAUUCUCAGGCGUAGGCCGGUCUGGCUCCCCACCGGCUGAGACCGGCCACCCAGGCGAUUUAGAGUCCCAGCACGACACUCGGGCAGAGAAUCACUUCAGCCCGAUCACAGAAGUGUGGGUACGAGCAACAGUCCAGGGUAAAAUAGAACACCAGGCGAACCCAAAAAAAGGUAAGCCUACUUAAUAAAAACAAGAUAAGACAAAACAAGACAAGACAGCAGACUCCACCAAGGAGGAGUUCACAACAGCAACUGAGAAGGCAGUCCACUCUUCCAAUUUAGGUUGGACAAUUUACCAUGGAGAGGCUGCCCUUCUGGCGCCCGUUGAUGAGGACUUGGGAUCUGACAAGAAGCAAACUGGGGGAAGUAGCAGAGUACCAGACUUCCCUCCUCCAGCAGGCCGGGAGAUCUUGUUGCGCACCUGUGUGCCGCGACCAGCAGCGUACUCCAAGGCGCUGCCUCAGCGGCUCUUCUGUGUCCUGAUGAGGGAGGAGUUUAGGUUGACCGGAGGCUUUUCCACAGACACGUCCUCCUUUUAAGUCCCGUGAACAAUUCACACCUGGGAUGAAGAUAAGUGAAGGACACAGGAUGGAGACUUUCACAUGUAUGAAUGUGGCCAUGGAGUAAGAUCAUAGAAAUACAUUUCUUCAUUUGUUUGCUUUAUUUGUAAGAACGGUGCAAUAUUUCAGCAUCUACGGCUCGCCCAAGCUUAAAAGCAGGAAGCAGUAUAUUACUGGCAUUGAUUAAGAAGCAUUUAUGGCUUUGUCUGGAAAUAUGUGAAACUAAAUCCUUCUGUGUAUUCAUAAAUCUGCAGCUUCCUGCAGCUGUGAUAAAACAGUUUCACACUAAAACCUUCAUUUUACCUUCAAA